rnacentral:rRNA from 1 species
GACGAACGCUGGCGGCGUGCUUAACACAUGCAAGUCGAACGGAAAGGCCCUGCUUUUGUGGGGUGCUCGAGUGGCGAACGGGUGAGUAACACGUGAGUAACCUGCCCUUGACUUUGGGAUAACUUCAGGAAACUGGGGCUAAUACCGGAUAGGAGCUCCUGCUGCAUGGUGGGGGUUGGAAAGUUUCGGCGGUUGGGGAUGGACUCGCGGCUUAUCAGCUUGUUGGUGGGGUAGUGGCUUACCAAGGCUUUGACGGGUAGCCGGCCUGAGAGGGUGACCGGCCACAUUGGGACUGAGAUAAGGCCCAGACUCCUACGGGAGGCAGCAGUGGGGAAUAUUGCACAAUGAGCGGAAGCCUGAUGCAGCAACGCCGCGUGCGGGAUGACGGCCUUCGGGUUGUAAACCGCUUUCGCCUGUGACGAAGCGUGAGUGACGGUAAUGGGUAAAGAAGCACCGGCUAACUACGUG